UUCCGGUUGAUCCUGCCGGACCUGACUGCUAUCGGAUUGAUACUAAGCCAUGCGAGUCUUUGCAGUAAUGCAAGGCGGACGGCUCAGUAACACGUAGUCAACUUACCCUAUGGACGAGGAUAAUCUCGGGAAACUGAGCAUAAUACUCGAUAGAUCAUAAUGCCUGGAAUGGUUUAUGAUUAAAAUGAUUCGUCGCCAUAGGAUGGGACUGCGGCCUAUCAGCUUGUUGGUGAGGUAAUGGCCCACCAAGGCGAUUACAGGUACGGGCUCUGAGAGGAGAAGCCCGGAGAUGGGUACUGAGACAAGGACCCAGGCCCUAUGGGGCGCAGCAGGCGAGAAAACUUUGCAAUGUGCGAAAGCACGACAAGGUUAAUCCGAGUGAUUUCUGCUAAAGAAAUCUUUUGCAAGUCAUAAAACCACUAGUGAAUAAGGGGUGGGCAAGUUCUGGUGUCAGCCGCCGCGGUAAAACCAGCACCUCAAGUGGUCAGGAGGAUUAUUGGGCCUAAAGCAUCCGUAGCCGGCUCUGUAAGUUUUCGGUUAAAUCCAUGUGCUCAACGCAUGGGCUGCCGAAAAUACUGCAUAGCUAGGGAGUGGGAGAGGUAGACGGUACUCAGUAGGAAGGGGUAAAAUCCUUUGAUCUAUUGAUGACCACCUGUGGCGAAGGCGGUCUACCAGAACACGUUCGACGGUGAGGGAUGAAAGCUGGGGGAGCAAACCGGAUUAGAUACCCGGGUAGUCCCAGCUGUAAACGAUGCAGACUCGAUGAUGCAUUGGCAUAUAGCCAGUGCAGUGUCGCAGGGAAGCCGUUAAGUCUGCCGCCUGGGAAGUACGUACGCAAGUAUGAAACUUAAAGGAAUUGGCGGGGGAGCACCACAAGGGGUGAAGCCUGCGGUUCAAUUGGAUUCAACGCCGGG
rnacentral:rRNA from 1 species